GAAAGGAGGCAGACCGUGGCAUAUUCAGGAGGCUAAAUGCCUUAGGGGUGGACAGUAGAGAUGAGGGUGAAGAGAAUGAAUGGCAAGAGAUGAAGCUACAGAAAUAAGCCAGCUGCCAUGUUGUGGGCCACCCAGUGGAGAGACCAACCAGGCAAGGAACUCAGGAAGCCUUCUAUCCAACAGCCCAUGAAGACAUGAGUCCUACCAACAACCACACGAGUGAGCUUGGAGUGACUCCUCCCCAGCUAAGCCUUAGAUGACUAAAGUCCAGCUGACAGCUGACACCUCAUUGCACCCUAUACAGACUUGGCGGUACUGCAGUCAUUUGUGUGCAUCAACAGCGAGCCCUCGGUACCAUGCUUUUAUGCUUUUGGCCACAGCAAAGACCAAUAAAGAGAAGACAGCUUGCUGAACUGUUCCUGAA